AAUGGGCGCAAGCCUGAUCCAGCCAUGCCGCGUGAGUGAUGAAGGCCCUAGGGUCGUAAAGCUCUUUCGCCUGUGAAGAUAAUGACGGUAGCAGGUAAAGAAACCCCGGCUAACUCCGUGCCAGCAGCCGCGGUAAUACGGAGGGGGUUAGCGUUGUUCGGAAUUACUGGGCGUAAAGCGCGCGUAGGCGGAUUAGUAAGUCAGAGGUGAAAUCCCGGGGCUCAACCCCGGAACUGCCUUUGAUACUGCCAGUCUUGAGUUCGAGAGAGGUAAGUGGAAUUCCGAGUGUAGAGGUGAAAUUCGUAGAUAUUCGGAGGAACACCAGUGGCGAAGGCGGCUUACUGGCUCGAUACUGACGCUGAGGUGCGAAAGUGUGGGGAGCAAACAGGAUU
rnacentral:rRNA from 1 species